rnacentral:rRNA from 1 species
GGUGAGUAACACGUAGGUGACCUGCCUUUUAGCGGGGGAUAACUCGGAGAAAUUCGAGCUAAUACCGCAUAGUGAGUACAAAAGUGAAAGUAGUACUCUAAAGAAUGCCUCUACUUGUAAGCAUUCACUAGAAGAUGGGCCUGCGUCGUAUUAGCUAGUUGGUGGGGUAAUGGCCUACCAAGGCUACGAUACGUAACUGGUCUGAGAGGAUGAUCAGUCACACUGGAACUGAGACACGGUCCAGACUCC